GUGAGGAAUAUUGGUCAAUGGACGCGAGUCUGAACCAGCCAAGUAGCGUGAAGGAUGACUGCCCUAUGGGUUGUAAACUUCUUUUAUAAGGGAAUAAAGUGAGGGACGUGUCCCUUUUUGUAUGUACCUUAUGAAUAAGGAUCGGCUAACUCCGUGCCAGCAGCCGCGGUAAUACGGUGGAUCCAAGCGUUAUCCGGAUUUAUUGGGUUUAAAGGGAGCGUAGGUUGACAUAUAAGUCAGCUGUGAAAGUUUACGGCUCAACCGUGAAAUUGCAGUUGAUACUGUAUGUCUUGAGUGUACAAGAGGUGGGCGGAAUUCGUGGUGUAGCGGUGAAAUGCUUAGAUAUCACGAAGAACUCCAAUUGCGAAGGCAGCUCACUGGGGUACAACUGACACUGAGGCUCGAAAGUGUGGGUAUCAAACAGGAUUAGAAACCCGUGUAGUCC
rnacentral:rRNA from 1 species